AUUGAAUAUCGGAUCAACGGUGCCCGUUUAGGGCUUAAUAGGGAAGAGGGGUGUGAUUCCCCCGCGGACCCGCCGCUGUAAGCGAUGACGAAGGGCAAUGUGUCACUGGUCUGUUGACCGGGAAGGCGCCCGGAGGAUGAUUCGCGAGCCAGAAGACCAGCCGAAGAUCCCAGCCACAA
rnacentral:ncRNA from 2 species